rnacentral:tRNA from 1 species
GAAGGUGUAGGUUAAGUUUAAACUUCGUAGUUCAUGCCUACGCAAUGCCUUGUGCUUCCUUUG